GUGCCAGCCGCGCGGUAAUACCGGCAGUUCGAGUGAUGGCCGCUCUUAUUGGGCCUAAAGCGUUCGUAGCUGGCCACGCAAGUCCGUCGGGAAAUCUACUCGCUCAACGAGUAGACGUCCGGCGGAAACUGUGUGGCUUGGGACCGGGAGACCCGAAGAGUACGUCCGGGGUAGGAGUGAAAUCCCGUAAUCCUGGACGGACUACCGAUGGCGAAAGCACUUCGGGAGCACGGAUCCGACAGUGAGGAACGAAAGCUGGGGUCUCGAACCGGAUUAGAUACCCGAGUAGUCC
rnacentral:rRNA from 1 species